rnacentral:rRNA from 1 species
UACGUAGGGCGCAAGCGUUAUCCGGAAUUAUUGGGCGUAAAGAGCUCGUAGGCGGUUUGUCGCGUCUGCCGUGAAAGUCCGGGGCUCAACUCCGGAUCUGCGGUGGGUACGGGCAGACUAGAGUGAUGUAGGGGAGACUGGAAUUCCUGGUGUAGCGGUGAAAUGCGCAGAUAUCAGGAGGAACACCCGUGGCGAAAGCAGGUCUCUGGGCCACUACUGACGCUGAGAAGCGAAAGCAUGGGGAGCGAACAGG